rnacentral:rRNA from 1 species
CCUACGGGUGGCAGCAGUGAGGAAUAUUGGUCAAUGGGCGCGAGCCUGAACCAGCCAAGUAGCGUGAAGGAUGACGGCCCUACGGGUUGUAAACUUCUUUUAUAAAGGAAUAAAGUCAGGCACGUGUGCCUGUUUGUAUGUACUUUAUGAAUAAGGAUCGACUAACUCCGUGCCAGCAGCCGCGGUAAUACGGAGGGUCCGAGCGUUAUCCGGGUUUAUUGGGUUUAAAGGGAGCGUAGAUGGGUUGUUAAGUCAGUUGUGAAAGUUUGCGGCUCAAACGUCAGAGUGCAAUUGAUACUGGCAGUCUUGAGGACAGUUGAGGUAGGCGGAAUUCGUAGUGGAGCGGUGAAAUGCUUAGAUAUCACGAAGAACUACGAUUGCGAAGGCAGCUUACUAAACUGCCACUGACAUUGAUGCUCGAAAGUGUGGGUAUCAAACAGGAUUAGAUACCCUUGUAGUC